rnacentral:rRNA from 1 species
UAAAAAGGUGAAACCGCGAACGGCUCAUUACAACAGCUAUUAUAUACUUGAUGUUGACGUCCUACGUGGAUAACUGUGGUAAUUCUAGAGCUAAUACAUGCACCAAAGCUCCGAUUCUUGACGAGCGCAUCUAUUAGAUUAAAACCAAUCGGGUCUCGGCCCGUCAGUUGGUGACUCUGAAUAGCUAUGGCUGAUCGCAUGGUCUCGUACCGGCGACGUAUCAAUCAAGUGUCUGCCUUAUCAACUUUCGAUGGUAGUUUAUGUGCCUACCAUGGUUGUAACGGGUAACGGAGAAUAAGGGUUCGACUCCGGAGAGGGAGCCUGAGAAACGGCUACCACAUCCAAGGAAGGCAGCAGGCGCGCAAAUUACCCACUCUCGGCAUGAGGAGGUAGUGACGAAAAAUAACGAGACCGUUCUCUAUGAGGCCGGUUAUCGGAAUGGGUACAAUUUAAACCCGUUAACGAGGAUCUAUGAGAGGGCAAGUCUGGUGCCAGCAGCCGCGGUAAUUCCAGCUCUCAAAGUGUAUAUCGUCAUUGCUGCGGUUAAAAAGCUCGUAGUUGGAUCUGCGCCUCCGGAUCCGGUCCGCCCACUGGGUGAGAACUGGACUCCGGGGCUAGUUCUGCUGGUUUUCCCUACGUUGCCUUCAUCGGUCGCGUAGGGUGGCUAGCGAGUUUACUUUGAAAAAAUUAGAGUGCUUCACGCGGGCUUUUGCCUGAAUACUCGUGCAUGGAAUAAUAGAAUAGGAUCUCGGUUCUAUUUUGUUGGUUUUCUGAGCUGAGAUAAUGGUUAAGAGGGACGGACGGGGGCAUUCGUAUCGCUGCGUGAGAGGUGAAA